rnacentral:rRNA from 1 species
GAUGAACGCUGGCGGCGUGCCUAAUACAUGCAAGUCGAGCGAACAGACGAGGAGCUUGCUCCUCUGACGUUAGCGGCGGACGGGUGAGUAACACGUGGAUAACCUACCUAUAAGACUGGGAUAACUUCGGGAAACCGGAGCUAAUACCGGAUAAUAUAUUGAACCGCAUGGUUCAAUAGUGAAAGACGGUUUUGCUGUCACUUAGAGAUGGAUCCGCGCCGGAUUAGCUAGUUGGUAAGGUAACGGCUUACCAAGGCAACGAUGCGUAGCCGAGCUGAGAGGGUGACCGGCCACACUGGAACUGAGACACGGUCCAGACUCCUACGGGAGGCAGCAGUAGGGAAUCUUCCGCAAUGGGCGAAAGCCUGACGGAGCAACGCCGCGUGAGUGAUGAAGGUCUUCGGAUCGUAAAACUCUGUUAUUAGGGAAGAACAAAUGUGUAAGUAACUAUGCACGUCUUGACGGUACCUAAUCAGAAAGCCACGGCUAACUACGUG